GACGAACGCUGGCGGCGUGCUUAACACAUGCAAGUCGAACGGAAAGGCCCUGCUUUUGUGGGGUGCUCGAGUGGCGAACGGGUGAGUAACACGUGAGUAACCUGCCCUUGACUUUGGGAUAACUUCAGGAAACUUGGGCUAAUACCGGAUAGGAGCUCCUGCUGCAUGGUGGGGGUUGGAAAGUUUCGGCGGUUGGGGAUGGACUCGCGGCUUAUCAGCUUGUUGGUGGGGUAGUGGCUUACCAAGGCUUUGACGGGUAGCCGGCCUGAGAGGGUGACCGGACACAUUGGGACUGAGAUACGGCACAGACUCCUACGGGAGGCAGCAGUGGGGAAUAGUGCACAAUGGGCGGAAGCCUGAUGCAGCAACGCCGCGUGCGGGAUGACGGCCUUCGGGUUGUAAACCGCUUUCGCCUGUGACGAAGCGUGAGUGACGGUAAUGGGUAAAGAAGCACCGGCUAACUACGUG
rnacentral:rRNA from 1 species